rnacentral:rRNA from 1 species
CCUACGGGAGGCUGCAGUGGGGAAUAUUGCGCAAUGGGCGGAAGCCUGACGCAGCGACGCCGCGUGAGGGAUGAAGGUCUUCGGAUCGUAAACCUUCGUCAGCAGGGAAGAACGGUCACUGUGCUAAUCAGCAGUGAAUUGACGGGACCUGCAAAGGAAGCACCGGCUAACUCCGUGCCAGCAGCCGGGGUAAUACGGGGGGUGCGGGCGUUAAUCGGAAUUGCUGGGCGUAAAGCGCUCGUAGGCGGUAUGUCAAGUCAAGGGUGAAAGCCCCGGGCUCAACGUGGGAACUGCCUUUGUAACUGGCAAACUGGAGUGGGUGAGAGGAUAGUGGAAUUCCAGGUGGAGGAGUGAAAUCCGUAGAUAUCUGGAGGAACAUCAGUGGCGAAGGCGACUAUCUGGCACAUAACUGACGCUGAGGAGCGAAAGCGUGGGUAGCAAACAGGAUUAGAUACCCCAGUAGUC